ensembl:lncRNA DIP2A-IT1 DIP2A intronic transcript 1
GUUUAUUGUCAAGAUUCAGUCACAUAGUGUGUGUGAAAAUGCUUCGAAACUGGUUGGAAGAAGAAGCUUAACAGUGACAAAGAUGCUGUCUUCAACAGAAACUGGAGUCUGCUUCAGAUUAAGAUGAAGAUGAAGAGUAGAAGUACAUGGAACCCCACUCUUCUUAGACCCCCUGCCCCCCAAUCAUGAACACAUACAGAAGAAUUCAUAUGUGUGGUUCCUGAAAACCUAUCAGGAUGUUCAUUGAUGGAAGUGAGAUCAUUAGAGGGAGCAUUUCAAGAGGAAGGUUUGAUCUGCUCAUCUUUCUGUCUCCAGCACCUUGCACAUUUUAGGCAUUUUAAUGGAUGCUUAUUGAGUUAAUAAAAGUGAAAACUUCACAUGGUGUUUAUUCAGUUUCAAAUAAAGAAUCCUCUGUAAAUGGAUUCAAA